rnacentral:sRNA from 1 species
GCUGGGUGUGGUGUUGCAUGCCUUUAAUCCCAGUGGCUGGGAGGCUGAGGCAGGAGCAUCAGGGGUUCAAUGCUAGUCUCAGAAACUUAGCAAAGCCCUAAGAUACUCAGCAAAACCCUGUCUCUA